rnacentral:rRNA from 1 species
GUAACACGUGGACGAAUCUGCCCCCGGCCCCGGGAGUAAGCCCCAGGGAAACCUGGAUUAAUACCGGAUGAGACGGGACCCGCGAUGGCGGGAUCCGGGAAAGGCGCUGCGGCGCCGCCGGGGGAUGAGUCUGCGUCCCAUUAGCUAGACGGCGGGGUAACGGCCCACCGUGGCGACGAUGGGUAGCCGGCCUGAGAGGGUGGACGGCCACAUUGGAACUGAGACACGGUCCAGACUCCUACGGGAGGCAGCAGCUAAGAAUCUUCCGCAAUGGGCGAAAGCCUGACGGAGCCGACGCCGCGUGAACGAAGAAGGCCGUGAGGUUGUAAAGUUCUUUUCGGGAGGGGGAACAACCGUGGCAGGGAAUGGCCGCGGGAUGACGUGAAUCCCGGAAUAAGCCCCGGCUAACUACGUGCCAGCCGCAGC